ensembl:lncRNA
AUGAUUUCUGAAGUUUGUUUAUAUCGCAUAGCAUCAGGCCUCAGCCUGCUUCAGCAUCCAUACACUGAAACAGAUAUUUUAACAAGGGGACAGACCUUCAAACUACACAUUUGUGGUGGAGUGCUGAAGCAAGCUGUGAUGGUUCCAGCAGUUCAGGUGGAGGUUGGCAGCUCAUUGCACUGUAGAGGAACAGAGAGGGUGAAGGUCCUGGAAAGUGAUUUUGGGCCUCAGUGUGAAGGAACAACAAGGCAGUGCUCGUUUGCAGUGCUUCCUGGAAGCCUUGAACACCUGCAGUUAACAAGCGCUGAAAGAAAAAAAGAGUAAUAAGAACACAAACUGACUUCAGUCACAGACUUAAUCAACUGAAGAUAAAAGAAGACAUUAAAUCUCUGAAGAUCUCAGCAGAGGAGGAUUAAACAACUCCACCAACAGCAGCAGCUUCACUCGUUAAUAACCAGCCGGACGUCUACAGAAGCUCUUAUUGAGAAUUAGCAAGCUUUAGAUGUUAAAAAUCUUUAGUUUUGUUUCAAAUUACUAUCCUGGUGAUCAGUGGCUGCUUUAGUUGGGCUCCUGAACCUUGACUUUUUAACAUUGGUUUUACUCUGGAUCCUGUAACUGUGUGUUUAUCACACAUUCGUUAUGGUGGGGAAAAGGCAUAGAGAAAAUUGGGAUCUGUUGAUGUCUUUAAUGUUGUUACCAGCAUUGCGAUACUACUAGUGAUUUCAAAUAUGAUAUUUAAUUGUAACUUGGUAGACAAAUUUGGAGAAUUUGAUGUUUCCCCAUUCAGAGGAGCUGACAAAGAGGCGUUUCAAAGAUGGCCACCGAGUGAAAUGACUUGCUUUAAAAGGGCUUUGAUCACAGUCACCAUUAGCUGAUAAUAUUCACAGCCAAUGUUUUGAUUAUUCUGACCGUGUCUAAUUUGUGACUGAUGUUUGAUAUAAUUUGAUGUAAUUUUCUCAGGAGGCUGAAUCCAAGUCUCCUGUUCACAGCUUCUAAUCGACACUAUCCGUUCCACCUUUUUCUCCUCUUCAUCAGUAUUUUUUUUUUAAUGUUUUUGCUGUUGUACACUCAACAGUAUCUCUUUCCAUCCAGACUCAUACUGUGUCUUAUUACAAUUCCUGCAAAAUCAAAUGAUGAUUUACUUUACGUAGUUAUAAUGACCAUAAUGUUUUGUAACUUACUAGAAUACUAUACACACCACACAUAAGCACUCACCCUACACGUAUUCACAGCAAUCUUUAAUCUAAUCUUGUAAUGUAAAACAAUACAAAUACGAUUCUUUCAAUUCAUUCCCUAUGCUCCCAUUACACUACUGGUUAAGAAG